rnacentral:pre_miRNA from 1 species
AUGUAGAACGAUCUGUUUUUAAGUAGGGAUAACUUACUCUAAAAUUAAUACUAGGUAGUUGUCUGUUAAUGACAAGUGUCUUUA